rnacentral:rRNA from 1 species
GCAGGCUGAAAUUCGCCUGCAUGAAGCCGGAAUUGCUAGUAAUGGCAGGUCAGCAUACUGCCGUGAAUACGUUCCCGGGCCUUGUACACACCGCCCGUCACACCAUGAGAGUUGGGGAUACCCAAAGCCCGUGAGCCAACUUUUUAAGAGGCAGCGGUCUAAGGUAGAAUCAAUGAUUGGGGUGAAGUCGUAACAAGGUAGC